rnacentral:lncRNA from 1 species
UCGAGUCAGUCCUGUGCUGGCAAACGAGCGAAUACAGGAGAACAAACUGCUUCGAACCAUCUCGUGAAGAAAGUUCCAAACGUGCGCUACAGCGGAUGAAUCACUCGCGGUUUUGUCUACUCCGGAGUUGAACGAGAUUUUGCGAUGAAAAAUUACCCUCUCGGGAGAGACUGCGGUGCGGAAUACCUCAUAACUAAGUGCAGCAAUAAAGGCUUUACCGAGACACCGUGAUUGACUUCCACCAAAAAGAAAACUUGAGCCUGGGAACUUCGCGAAUUCUGGUUUAAUUAAUGGAAAUUCGUACAGCUAAUUUAAACUGCGUGAAGUUGGUUAAGUGAAAGUUCAAGUCUCUGCGGAGAAGAACAUCCUGGAUGAAAUUUAUAAACAAAUUAUUUGACUACGAAGAUGCCUCUAAUGAUUAAGCAGUCCCAAAUGGAUAUCGAAUUUCACAAUCAAGGUCACUCAUCUGAUACCCCGUCAAGCAAUGUAUCAAAUGAUAAUCGGGCCGGCUUUAUUUGAAGAAAGGCCACGGCUUGACAAGUUUUUGAAGAUUGUUUUCCUAAAAAUGGCGAAGCCCACUGUAUGAUCGAGAGGCCAACAACGCUGCACAGUCGGUAAAACAGAAAUCACGCGCAAAUCUCUUUAAUGCACCUUACGUCAACAAUAAAAGUGCGGAAAGAACAAUGUUUCAGAUUGUUGGGAUUCUGGUAAUG